rnacentral:lncRNA from 1 species
AGAGGGUGGGUCCCCAGCCAAGCCGGGCCACUCCACAGAAGCCCUCAGAGCGCUGGUGCCUGGUCAGAGCGUGCAAAGAGUAGGCUUGCCUGAUGAAGAGGAGAGAAAAGAAAACUUUAGCUGCAAAGAUCCAGAUCAUGGGCCACUGGGAGCCUCUCCCUGGAGAAGACAGCCCCACCAAACCUGAAGAUUCCAAAGUCCUGGCUGAAAUCAUAGCUACAGACGCCGUAUGUCGAGCUGGCAUUGAAUUCACUCCCUGCCAAGUCCUGAGCAAGCUUAGCGAGGCUGCGACAUAAAGAUCAGUCACUCCAGAGACCCUGCCUUCAAAGCUGCUCUGCCAUGGCUCCUGCACUCACGCGAAAUGUUGUGCUGUCGCCAAGUGAACAUAAUGACGAGUGCAUUGAAUGUUAAUUACAGCAUGG